rnacentral:lncRNA from 1 species
UUAACACACGUAAGGUUUCAAUGUUAAACAGGUUCGGCUCCACUGCGAUGUGUUGAUAGGUCUGCCGCUCGAAAAGCAAAAGAAGCAAAAGUGAUACAAACAUAAUGGACUGGACAUCUCGUGGGUAACAGACCAACGGUGUAUGAUUUCAUGAUUAUAUGCAGACCUGGGCACAGUCAGGAUAUCUUGCUAAAAGAGCCCUAGUCAGAUCUUCCUUGGUCUCUCUGCUGUACGGAAGUACU